ensembl:lncRNA
CUAGCUAAAUCUAACUUUAGGUAUGUUUAUGUUAAUUUGUUUUAGUAAAGUAGCACAAAGUGUAUUUCUGAAGCAGUUUUUGUAAUUAAAAGUCAUCUCUUGGUCAAUAUAUUAUACUUAGGUGUUUCAAACUUCAUCUCCCACUUUUUGAUUCCCAGAGUGAGUGAAUGUAGUCUGAUAUCUGUGUCAUAACUUCACACAAGGAUAAUUCAGAUAAUUCAGGAUAAUUCACUACUUAAUUAUGCCCUAUUACAAACUUAGAUAUCUCCCAUGAACGUUUCUGUGGCUUUAACAUUUUCCUCUUUUGGGUAUGUUUUCUAUAAUACAGUGCAGUGACCUCUUGAAAUCUAUAGAAUUUAGGUGUAGUCUGAUAAACUUUGGGAGUUUUUUCUCUGUGCUUCAGAAACCUACAGCAAUAUAUAAAGAAUGCAUAACUAUUUAUACACAUCUGCAACCCGUGUUUUGUUUGAUUGUAUUAUGUAUUAAAUGACCUUCAAAUAAUGUUGAAAAAUAGCCUUUAACUUAAGCCUUGAAUAGAUAUGCCCUUCAAAGAAAACAGUUCCUUAGAUAAUUAGACUUUAAUUUCUCACUGUAUACCACUUUGAUCUUGUAACAUUUUUAAAAACAGUUUUGGGGAUUUUUUUCGAGGCUCCCAAACAAGUUCUUGUUUCUCAAAAGCCGUAAUAUAUUCGUAAGUUAGUAAAUCCCAAAGAUACUAUUUUUAAACUCCCGUUGGAUUUAUUUAUUUAUUUAUUUUAGUGUGCUAAUUUAGGGCAUAAUUUUCUUUGCUGUGGGUCACAUGAUUCCUCCCGUCCUUCACACACGCACUUAAAAUUCUUACUUCCUGAUUGAGCCAUCAAGAUUACGUAAAAUGUAAAUCUGCCUAAAUAUUGAAGAGCAGGAAUUUUAAGGAGAAAAUGCUGUUUUCUUUUUCUGUUUCAUUAUGAAUCUGUAAGAAUCAAUGUAAGCGUGUACUUGCCUGUUUGUAUUUGCAGACGAGAAGCUGUUAGGGAAUUUUUUUCAUCUCUUCCCUUUCAGACUGAGUCAGACUUUGCUUUCAUUAUAAAAAAUAAUGUACCAACUAGAUAGACCAUGGGGUGGUACAGUUGCAGGACUGAAAUCAAAAUGGUUCCGAUUACUGAGAGAUCCAUGUACUUACUACUCCUUUCAUAUUCAGAAUGAAGAGUACAGCAGCUCUCAGAAGGUAAUGCUUUGAUAUUUUAGAUGUGUAAAUGCCAUUCACCCUUUCUGCUGUCUGUUAUAAAUGAAGGUAAUUUCCAGCAGGUAGGACGACACUAGUUUUAUCACAGAUCUUAUACUCCGUCACAUUUUUCUCAAAGCACUUUUGAAGUUGUCAUAGUAACAGCGUGAUGUUUAGAGGGUCUUUUCUGUAGCCUGACUCAAUUAAUUUUAUUAACUCUGGAUAUUUUUCUUUUCACUCAUUCAUGACAAGCAAAGACUGUAAAUUGCUCAAAUAUGUAUUUCAUGUUCCUUAUAUCUUGAUGACUCUAGUUUAAGGACUUGAUUUAUAAGUGGUUUCAGUAAAGGAACAAGAUUGUUAUCAAUUGGUAUGGAAUAGACCAAAUGAGAGUUCUUAAUUAUUCUAUAAAAUCUCGCUAUCAUUUUAGGACCAGGAUUUAGUUUUGUUUGAAGAGGGGAGUUAUGGAAGAUUACAGAUGUAAUUGUGACUUGAUGUCCAUGGUUAUACCUAUCCUUUACUGUGACAACUUUGAUGUAUUUAGAUUAUGAAUUGGAGAAGGCAGAAAUGUAUCAGACUUAUAGGAAGAGAAAUUACUUCUUUAAUAAUACAGUACUCACAUGUAGCUCCAAAAGCAGGUUCCAUAAAAGGAAAAAAAUAAUAAAUAUGGCUUUACCAAACUUAAGGCAGUAUUUUCUGAAACUCUAAAAUAUACUAAAAUAAAUUCUCCUCUAGGAAAGUUGGUGGGAAUUCUUUAUGGGCUGAAAGUAGGUUGUGCUCUUCUGUGAGGAAAGCUGUGUGGCAAGAAUUCUUGCCAAUAUGGCGAAUGGUGAACAAGGAAGCCCUUGGGCAAGAGAGGGUCAAAAGAAAGAACAGCCUGGACCCUAGGUCUGGGUAUGCUAGGACUUUAAAAAUAUCAGAUGCAUGAUCCUUUUGUUUUCCUGUGAAAGUGUUCAGAGCAAAGUGACACCCAAGUCUGUGAGUUUUGUGAGUUUAAUGCUAAUGCCACUGUCCCUGCCGUUCUGUCUGGUAUUUGUUCACCCAUGGGCAAUGCGAGAGAAUCGGGGCAGCAGCAUGUGGAGCCAACAGCAGUAAAGGUGCUAAUACACGCCAGUGAUGUCAGGAGUUAGGAGACAGUGGUUUCAAAACACUGCAGUAAACAAGGUCAAAGUGUCCCGUUUUGCUGGAAGAAGGUUUGUUUUUAUGAGCUGGACAGUACAUGGAUGAAGUAAUUUUUCAAAACAAAUUGCCCAUUUAUAUGUGUGUUGUUCUUUUUUUCUUUUCAGAUUUUAAAAAUAAUUAGCCAGAUGAGAUUUAGUAAUCAUUACAUUUUUAAGCAGAAUUAUAUUUGUUUUUCUUUUUUCUGUGUUUUUCAUAGAGGAAAUAAAAAUGCUUAUGACCUAAGACUUCCUAAAUGCUUUUAGAGAGAGCAAGAUAGGACCCAGUCCUUUCAAAUAAUGGCACGAAGCAGUCACAACUGGUAGUAAACUAUUCCUCUUGGUUGUUUUGUACCUUUGGGUCUUAUUUGGACAGCAUCUAAGUACAAGACAGUUAAUGGCACAGAAUACUGCUGACUGUGUGGGUUGUCUUAAUGCAUUUUCCAACCUUGAACCUGAGAAUGCCAGAGGCUUGAGUCUCUGGCUGUUUGUGGGAGCAGUUAUCUGCUGGCGGCAAGGUUCCCGGGGUAACAAGUGGGUGUCCUGGGAGUGUGUGUGUGCAGUAACAACAGCAGUGGUGCCACGUGGUGCCCUGAGGUCGCCUCAGUCUGCCCUGGGGAUUCCGGUCCUCAGAAGUGUCUCUGAGAUGAACUGUGAACUUGGGGCAUCUUGGGCAGCGCAGGCGCUAUGGAGUUCCACAGCGGACCUGGGUGUGAGCACACACGGCUUUUAAAGCGAAAGCAGGGCCUUGAGGAAGGAAUUGCCGUCAUCUUGUCUCAUGCCCAACCUGCUCACAGUGCUGGAAAGCAAAGUGCUGCUUUUCUGAACAAAUGCCUCCUGAGGAUUUGUGCACCUGGGAAAUACCUGCCAACGGAUUGCCUUUACACCCUGUGUAAGUAGAGGUUUGUACUCACAAUCCACCCUCAAAGGAGCUUUGUUGUAUUUUGGUCCUGGAUGAUUCCCCAGUACAGUUUUUAAAGUGAACAUCUGUGUUUAAUCUCUACUCUGCUUAAACUUAUUUACCACCAGGAAAAGUAUAUAAUAUGAACUCCUACUUAAAAGCAAUGGUAAAGGUCCCACAUGCAAGUCUUACAAUGGGGAGAGAAGCAGGAGAAAAUAUAAAAGAUCCUCAUUUCAGCAAAUGUAGAUGGGAGGUGGCAUUCGUAUACUCAAGGGGAUCUUGUCAGAUUUUAAUUUUGGUCAGACGCCUCAGCAGUCAGCUACCCUGACCUGUAUCAGUAUAGAGCAGGGAGACCUUUCCAUUUACAAGUUGUAGCAGAU